rnacentral:tRNA from 1 species
GGGUCAGUAGCUCAACUGGUAGAGCAACGGUCUCCAAAACCGUGGGCUGAGGGUUCGAGUCCUUCCUGGCCCG